CCAUUCAGAAGCUCUGGCCAUAAAUGCCACAGGCAAGCAGCACGUUACGCACUGCAUUUUCCCAAAAGAGCAUCAACUUUGGAUAACAGUCAAAAUGCCAGGAACGAAAGGUAAUAAAUCGGACAAGAAGUCAGCUACCAAGCAACCUCAGAGUCCUAAAGAACAGCCAAAGAAAGGUGAUCAGAAAGGAGAUGAUAACAAGAAGCAAGGAGCAGGACAGCCGAAGGGAGAGAAGCAGUAACUUCCAGGCCUUUGUGAAGAUGGCUUUGGAGACGCUGCUAGGGUCCUGUCGUCGUAGACAUGGGGGUCCCGGAGGGAGAAAGGGAUGAGCGUCCCCCCCCCCCCCCACCCUAUGCACUUUCCCCCAGAACCAGCCGGCCGUGCUGCUGUGCAGCACAUCUGCUCACCCCUCAGAAACUGAUCUCCAUCCAUCACCAUCUCUUGUUCCUCCCCAUCUUCUGUCUAGCCCUGCUUCAACCCUUCCUCAUCCUACUGUGGAAAAACUUGUUUUGUAAAUAAUAACUCAAAUAAACAACUAUUUACUACA